CACGUAGGCACCAAGCGUUGUCCGGAUUUAUUGGGCGUAAAGAGCUCGUAGGCGGUUCGAUAAGUCGGGUGUGAAAUCUUUGGGCUUAACCCAAAGCGUGCAUUCGAUACUGUUGUGACUAGAGUUCGGUAGGGGAGUGGGGAAUUCCUAGUGUAGCGGUGAAAUGCGCAGAUAUUAGGAGGAACACCGGUGGCGAAGGCGACCACCUGGACUGAUACUGACACUGAGGUGCGAAAGCGUGGGUAGCAAACAGG
rnacentral:rRNA from 1 species